ACGCGGUUUGCCAGAACUGGGCAUAGACCUGCUGGAUAUCCUGCAACGAGCGGCAAUCGUGGAUCGAGCGGAAUAACUGGGCAUCCUCGCGGAGCCUCAUCCCGACAAACUCGGACCAUUCCUUGCCGACCGACUGCAUGUUGGUGCUGACCUGCGCGUUGAACUUCGCGAUUUCGUUCAGCAUGGUUCCGUUCAUCUCGCU
rnacentral:misc_RNA from 1 species